rnacentral:tRNA from 3 species
UGGGGUAUUAGCUCAAUUGGUAGAGCGCAACAAUGGCAUUGUUGAGGUCAGCGGUUCGAUUCCGCUAUACUCCAU